rnacentral:lncRNA from 1 species
AACACACACAAUUUUCCUCCUUCUUGUUCAUAUGCAUGUACAAUUUUGUAUAAUUAUAAUUAUGGUGCUUUCCGAUUUUUCUCUCUGCAUUUCUGUAUCUCUGCAUUUCUCUUAUUGUUCACUACUGUCCUCAUUUUUGGUGGCUUCAUCAUAUUUUACCUUUGUGAUACGGAAUCAUUUACUUAACUCUCCCUCUGUUCCUGGUGGACAUUUACGCUGUUAACAAGUCUUCAUUUUGUAGGAAACACUAUUGUUUGUCCACAGACCAUCCAUUUAUGUCUUUUUUUCUUUCCAACAGAACACCAGUUUUGUCCAGAUAUCCGUGAAUCUCCUGUGUGAGUCAGGCGAAGAUGUGUUCAUUCCCCAUCCUUCGGGGGAGACUGGCGGCAAGGGAGAGGUCCUAUUGGCACUAUAAAGAACACACCAUAAAAGGGGCCCAUGGUUUUCUUAUGGUGGUGUUGUUCAUGGUUUCCACUGCUUUCCAAAGCUGUGAAAGAGGAGAAAGAAACAAGGAUGACGGUAAUUCACACUAUCCACACAGUGGCCACUGGCCCACUUGUUCUCAUUUAGUGUAGUUCUUUUUUUCAUGUGCAAGUGCCUUGCAUUCAAAAUACCCUUUUAUGGAAACAUUGUAAAAUAUGAAAAUAUGUGUUCUUGGAAUUCUUCAAUUUUCUCCUUCUAUAGCCUUUUCUUCCCUUUGGUCUAUGAAGCUUCUCCUUUACCUGGAAUGAAAUAAGCCCACCACCUGUAUUUCCACAUCCUAGUUGUUCAUCAAGCCCAGUGCAAAGGUCAUUUCUCCCAGGAAAGCUUCUCUGAUCCCACAGCUCUCUCCCUCUCCAAACUCCAUAGCAUGUACUAUGCACUUCUUACUCACUACCUUGUAUUAAAGUUAUUAAGAUACAUUUCCUAUAUCCCUACAUUUCCUAUAUUCCUCGUCUAGAUUAGAAAUUCCAUGAUGCAGAAGAUACAUCACUGAAGCCCCUUUGGAUUUCUUGCAACACAGUGCUUUACUAGGUAUUUGUUAUAUAUCUUUUUUGAAUUACAUGUCUUUUUUGAAUGACACGUCCUGAUAUAUAUAUAUAUAUAUAUAUAUAUAAUUUAAAAUCAGGACAUGUACGCUUAUAUAUA